rnacentral:rRNA from 1 species
GACGAACGCUGGCGGCGUGCUUAACACAUGCAAGUCGAACGGAAAGGCCCUGCUUUUGUGGGGUGCUCGAGUGGCGAACGGGUGAGUAACACGUGAGUAACCUGCCCUUGACUUUGGGAUAACUUCAGGAAACUGGGGCUAAUACCGGAUAUGAGCUCCUGCUGCAUGGUGGGGGUUGGAAAGUUUCGGCGGUUGGGGAUGGACUCGCGGCUUAUCAGCUUGUUGGUGGGGUAGUGGCUUACCAAGGCUUUGACGGGUAGCCGGCCUGAGAGGGUGACCGGCCACAUUGGGACUGAGAUACGGCCCAGACUCAUACGGGGGGCAGCAGUGGGGAAUAUUGCACAAUGGGCGGAAGCCUGAUGCAGCAACGCCGCGUGCGGGAUGACGGCCUUCGGGUUGUAAACCGCUUUCGCCUGUGACGAAGCGUGAGUGACGGUAAUGGGUAAAGAAGCACCGGCUAACUAAGUG